rnacentral:misc_RNA from 1 species
AUCAGAUCAGAAUCUUGAGAGAUUGUCGGAAGAUUGACAUGCAUGAUUUGUGGCUAAAGUGGUAGAUUUAAAUUGAACUGAGAAUUACGCAAUUAGGCGAGAUAGACGCACGACAUCAAUUUCCUCCAAUCACACAGAUUUGCCACUGAUUCCGAACGCAACCUCUAUAAAAGGGCAGACCUGCCAGUUAAAAUAAUGUUGUUGAUUCUCAUAAGAAUUCCUAAGUGACAGCAGAGUUCUCUCUAGAAGACAACCGGAGACGAAUAGCUCGAGAGAGAAGA